UGGGGAAUUUUGGACAAUGGGCGCAAGCCUGAUCCAACCAUGCCGCGUGCAGGAUGAAGGCCUUCGGGUUGUAAACUGCUUUUGUACGGAACGAAAAGGUGCCUUCUAAUAAAGGGCGCUCAUGACGGUACCGUAAGAAUAAGCACCGGCUAACUACGUGCCAGCAGCCGCGGUAAUACGUAGGGUGCGAGCGUUAAUCGGAAUUACUGGGCGUAAAGCGUGCGCAGGCGGUUUUGUAAGACAGAGGUGAAAUCCCCGGGCUCAACCUGGGAACUGCCUUUGUGACUGCAAGGCUGGAGUGCGGCAGAGGGUGAUGGAAUUCCGCGUGUAGCGGUGAAAUGCGUAGAUAUGCGGAGGAACACCGAUGGCGAAGGCAAUCCCCUGGGCCUGCACUGACGCUCAUGCACGAAAGCGUGGGGAGCAAACA
rnacentral:rRNA from 1 species